rnacentral:rRNA from 1 species
CUUGGUCAUUUAGAGGAAGUAAAAGUCGUAACAAGGUCUCCGUAGGUGAACCUGCGGAGGGAUCAUUACUGAAUGGCCUUUUGGCCUUCAACCUUGUAAACAUGUGGAAGCAAGAUGUGCUUCGGCGCUUCGGCGUCGCUUUUAUGCUAAGAUCAGUUUCUGAGUCUGAAUCAAUAUCAAAAACAAAACUUUCAACAAAGGAUCUCUUGGCUCUCGCAUCGAUGAAGAACGCAGCGAAGCGCGAAAUGUAGUGUGAAUCGCAGAACAUUGUGAAUCAUCGAAUCUUUGAACGCACAUUGCGCCUCCAGUAACUUGGAGGCAUGCCUGUCUGAGCGUCAUUUAAAACCAUAAAUCAAACUGAGUUUGUAUUGGGCUUCGCCUCAGGGCGUGGCCUGAAAAUCAUCGGUCUAAUACGUGGGCGAGCUCCUCUAGGACUUACCACGCUUGGACUUUAAACCUCUGACUUGACCUCAGAUCAGGUAGGACUACCGCCUGAACUUAAGCAUAUCAAUAAGGCGAGGAACAGAAACCAACAGGGAUUCCCCUAGUAGUGGCGAAUGAAGCGGGAAAAGCUCAAGUUUGAAAUCUGAUGGGUUCAUCCCCUCAGAGUUGUAAGCUGAAGAGGCAUUGAUCGACGUUGUCUGGGUCCAAUUUCCUUGGAACAGGAGGUCAUGGAGGGUGAGAACCCCGUCUGUGGCUCAGAGCCUUCGUCCUUGUGUCAUGUCCUCAAAGAGUCGGGUUGUUUGGGAAUGCAGCUCAAAAUGGGUGGUAAAUUCCAUCUAAGGCUAAAUAUUGGCGAGAGACCGAUAGCAAACAAGUAGAGUGAUCGAAAGAUGAAAAGUACUUUGAAAAGAGAGUGAAACAGUACGUGAAAUUGUUGAAAGGGAAGCGUUUGGCAUCAGCCCAUGAUGUCUGUCGAUCAUUCAGGCUUCUGUCUGAUGCACUUGAUGGGCAUCGGGUCGACGUCGGCUUUGCCUACCGGAGAAAGGCCUUGGGGAUGUGGCACCCCUAGGGGUGCGUUAUAACCCUUGGCGUCAUGCGGUAUGGUGGGGCCGAGGUCCGCGGUUUAUCCUAGGACGUCGACUUAAUGGUUCCAAGCGACCCGUCUUGAAACACGGACC